UAAUACGUAGGGGGCAAGCGUUGUCCGGAUUUAUUGGGCGUAAAGAGCGUGUAGGCGGCCAGACAGGUCCGUUGUGAAAACUGGAGGCUUAACCUCCAGACGUCGAUGGAAACCGUUUGGCUAGAGUCCGGAAGAGGAGAAUGGAAUUCCUGGUGUAGCGGUGAAAUGCGCAGAUAUCAGGAAGAACACCCGUGGCUAAGGCGGUUCUCUAGUACGGUACUGA
rnacentral:rRNA from 1 species